rnacentral:lncRNA from 1 species
GCUUGAGCCAGCAUCACAUCACAAUCACAUCCACUUUUUGUUUACUCUCACUGCUAGUCCAAACUCACAAAUAGCAACAAAAAUGAGAGAAUUUAGAUGAAUUAGGAAAGCUCAUAAAAGAGAAGAAAAGAACUAGAAACAAGCGGAAAAGAGUCAAAACCAUGCUUACCCGAUCAAAUCAAACUCGUCGAAAAUUAUUAAAAUUAUUAACAUGAUUAUUAGAGAAUAUAAAGUGGAUGAAUAGUGAUUAACAAAUCAGCAAUCAAUACAAUAAUUAUACCAACCUCAAACACACAAGGUGUCUAAUUUGGUUUUAAUUCUUUGUUAAGAAAUCAAAAAAUAAUAAAAAUUUAUAAUUAUGAUCGACCCGAAGAUUAUCUAGUGAUUCAGUCCAACACAAACCUAAGCUUAUGCACAAAAUUCACUAUAAGCAGACAAAACCUAUCAACAUGAAAUUUUAUGAAAACUAUACAAAUAACUAAACACGCAAAUCUAUACGAAAUAUAUUGUAUCUUGCGUAUGGUUAACACAUGAGAAAAAACAUUAUAUAAUUGUUCUUGUGUGUUAUGUGUUUAUCCAUUUCAUAAUGACUUUAUAUGAUAUAUGUUACUAUAAGAAAAUUUAUGUUUAAAUAUAUUGAAUAACUAAUGUAUCUGGUCCAUAUAUAAUUCAAAUUUAUUGAUUAUUUAAACUAUAAAACUAUCCUUCUAAUAAAAUAACAUAUUUUUUAAAAUUAAUGUAACAUCAUUUUUAAAUAAAUUUGAUAAAAAUAUAAAAGUUCAUUAAACAAGUUUUGAUAUUACUAAUAUUGCUUUAAACCAAGAUUUCCCAUGUCCAUCUAUCCGCUUUUGUAAAUACCUAGGUGCGUUAAAAUAUAAGUUGUAAUAUUAUUUUUAUUGAAUAUUAAUUUUAGUUUUAAUUUAUUUAUAAAUUAUUAAAAGUAUGAUAAAAUGAAAAAUACAUAAACUUCCCUAUAACCAUUGUUAAGAAAGUGAUGUUAAAGAUUUUGAAUAAAAACUAAAAAAUGUAUAUUUGAAAAAAUAUGCUACAUCAAAAUCAGGUUUUUCCUUUAUAUUUUACUAGCGUCCAAACGGGCACCGUAUGUCUGCUUUUUUAAUAAACACACGUGAAAAUAUAUACAAUAUUAUUUUAUUUUAUUUUAUUUAAUGCUAAUUUUAGUUGGAAGUUAAUAGUAGGAAGUUAUGUGAAAGAUGAUAAUAGUAGUUUCAAUAGAAGUUAUUAUGUAAGUUACCUAAGGGUAAAAUUGGUAGAAAAAUAGGCUACACCAAAAUUAAGUUUUUCCUUUAUAUAUUGAGAAGAUUGUGAAAACCAACUUUGGUAGUUAUGUAUAUUUAAAAAUUAUAAUUUUUUAUUAUUAUUUUAUUUUUUAAUUAAAUAAAUUGUAUAUAUUUUAAAGGGUAAAUUGUGAAUGAAAACAGGUCAGCCCAAAAUCGCCCUCCCCUUAUAUAUAGUUAUAGAUUUUAUUUCUUAAUUAAAUAAGUUGUAUAUAUUUUAAAGGAUAAAUUGAGAAUGAAAAUAGGUCAGUCCAAAAUGACUUAUCCCCUUUAUAUAAAACUAGUGUUCAAACGGGCGCUCCGUGCCCGUUUGUCCGCUUUUCUUAUUGCUCUAACGCGUAAAAAUAUUAACAAUGUCUUUUUUUAUAAGUUUGAUUUUAAUAUAAAUUAUUUAUAUGAUGAAAAAUAUGAUAUUUAUUCAGAUACAUAUUAAAUUUUAUUUAUAAUAUAUAAUAUUCGCGCAUUAAAUUUUGUUUGAAUUGAGAAAAUUGCAGUGUGACGUGACUUUAUUCAACCGUUUUUUUCAAGCAAAUCAAUAAAUAACUCAAUGUAUAAAAUUAAAUUCUUCUUUAAUGUUUUUGAGUUUGUGAUCUUUAAUAUUUUUGGUAUGAGGAUGUAAUGCACAAUAUAUACACAUGGAAACAAUUAAAUUUCUCUUCAACAACAGAGUAAGAAUGCAACGGUAAUAAUCAUCAAUAUUCAUAUUUCUUUUAUGGAUAUAAUCAUUAAUAAUACAAAUGGAGUAAGAAUGCAACAAUAAUAAUCUCUCUCUCUUAUUUGUAUAAUAAACCUUUUUGACAUGAACUUUCAUGUCCGUCCGGGAUAUCUAUCUAAAAACCGUGUUAUAACGUGGCAAUGCAGUUACAAUAAAAUAUUUUUGAAAUAAUUAUAAUAUUUGAAGGAUAAAAUAGGAAAUAAAAUAGGCCAGACUAAAAUUUUCAAUCCCCAUUAUAUAUUGUUAUAGAUUUAUGAUAUAAAGAAUAUAAUAUAAUCUUGAAAUAUCGUGUAAACAAAAUGGGAAUCAAUAUGUGAACAAUAUGAUCUAAUGCGCACAACUGAGGAAAAUAAAUGUGUUUUUCUAUCUUAUUUUUAGUCAAUUCAUAUGAGUGGUGGUAGUUUCUUCAUUCAUUCUCUGAUCAAUUAGUUUUGAAUAUGUAACAAUGCAAUUUAGAAUACAAUUAGAAUAAUAAAAGAGAAGCGUAAAAUUGUAACAUUCGCUUGUCUUAAAGAAGUGGUAGCAUUUCUAUUAUGUUGUUGCCACUUCAAAAUAAUUGUUCACUAAUUCUUACUAUGUCUUUCUAAUGCUUUAUAUUCAUCUUAUCAUAUUCGUUAAUAAAUGACAAACCAUUAAGGAUACCUCUGUUACCAUGAAAUUGAAAACACAUAUAAGCAAAUUUAAAAAUCCUCCUUAAGACUUAAACUAUCCCUUCAUUUAAGGAUACAUAUCACAUUCAUUCGUCAAUUAUACACUAACAAAACAACACAAAACAAAAUUCAUCUUUCUUCUUUUAUUUUUUUCUUAAUUUUUUUAUUAUUCAUUUCCAAACCCUAAUUUUAAUUUCCCCAUUUUUUCUCCAAAUUUCAUUAUUGUUUUGGAUCUAGGUACUCCCUCACUUCCUCCUUAUAUAAGAGUUUCCAUUCCACUCUAAAUCCAAAUAAAUUUAAAUCCAUUUUUAACUUCACCCCGUGUUUCAACAUUUGAUCUCAGUUUAUUUUUUUCUCUCAUUUCUUCAACCUCUCUCCUCUUUAUGACAAAUCAAUAAUAAUAUCUUCGCUACCAUAAAAUUGAAAAGACACAAAAGCAAAUUUAAAAAGGAUUAUUGAGGCAGUUUCUCUAUAAAGACAAUUUUCUCUCUCGUUUAGUGUUCACUGCCAUCAAAAUUUCACAUAAUAAAAAGAAUAAGUAAAUAAAUUAAAAGUAACGGAAAGGAUAAGACAUAUUCAAAACUAAAUUGAGCAAACAUGUACACAUUUCAACAUCAAAACAAUUAAUUAAAAUAUCAUGACAUUAGAAGAAUGAAAGUGAUGAUAAAGGUUGAAACCAUAUGGAAGACAAAAAUAAAAAAGGUUGAAACCAUAAGAUGAAAAACAAAAAUAAAAAAUGAAAAAAAAUAGAUGAGAGAAGAAUUGGCAGUUCCAUAUAACUUCCAAAUACUUAUUCCAUGUCUUUCUCUUCCACAAUAACCUCUAAAUAAAUUGAUAUAUUUUAAAGGGUAAAUUGUGAAUGAAAAUAGGUCAGUCCAAAAUCACUCUCCCCUUAUAUAUAGUUAUAGAUUUUAUUUUUUAAUUAAAUAAGUUGUAUAUAUUUUAAAGGAUAAAUUGAGAAUGAAAAUAUGUCAGCCAAAAUGACUUAUCCCCUUUAUAUAAAAUAAUAGUUAUAGAUUAUUAUUAUUAUUAUUAUUAUUAUUAUUAUUAUUAUUAUUAUUAUUAUUAUUAUUAUUAUUAUUUAACGUCAAAUGUAUUUUUUCUACAUUUUAUUUAUGUUAUAUUAUAUGAUUUUUUUAUAGAUUUAAGUUAUAUUUUAUAGAGACAAAUCAACAAUUUUUAUUUAUUAUUUAUUUUUAUUUCUAAUCCAAUUUAAAUUUAGACUAGUAAUUUAAAUUAUAGAAAAAAAAUAUUGUUUUUUGAACAAAUCAUAUAUAUUUUGUUUCUUUAAUUUAAAUUACUAUUUUUUCAUCUCGUGAUGUCGUAUGGUACUAAAUAUUUGAUAUAUUUUUUUUAUCGUAUUUUGAUAUUGUGUCUUAUACUAUCUACCAAACUUUCUCUUAAAAAAAUUAUUUAAUUUAGUUUUAUUUACUACAUCGAAUAAUAAUAUAUAUUUUUAAUAUAUAUAUAACGUUGAAUAUUCAAUCUUCAUCAUUCUUUAAAAAUAAUUUCCUUAAAUAUAAAUAUUCCUUUUUUUUAUAUUUAUCUAACAUGUUUUCUUUAUAAUAACCAAAAAUAAAGUACAAAGUGAGAUUCUACCGAAUGGCUUCUUAUCAUUCUCGAGUUUGGUGGAUUUUGUUCGUUGUUUUUGUUUUGUUUUCAGGUAAUAAGAACAUGUUAUUUUUAUGUCUUCCAUUUCAUUUUUCUAAUAUUAAUUAAUCAUGAACAUGUUAUUAUCAUAAUUUGAAAUCAUAGUUUAUUGGAUUCCUUAAACUUUAUUCUUGUUGCAGGAUUCACAACUAGUAUUGAUCCUCCAGGAUAUAAGUGCAAUAAGGAAUGCAUAACUGAUGAAGCAUGCAAUAAGUAUUGCACAUUUUUUUGGCCAUAAAAGUGGUUAAUGUCUAUAUCCCAAACUCAUGCGUUGUUGCUGUCAUACCUAAUGUUAUUGUACUCUUCAAUACAUCUUAAUGAAUAAAAUGCAUAUGAAUUGUUGGAAGGUUUUUAAAACCCAAUUGUCUUCCUUCUGAAAUCCAUAGAAGCUAUUAGUGUUAUAAAUCGAUAGAGUUGAAUGAAUUCAGGUUUAAAUCAUGAUUGGUAUCAUUUUCUUUAAAAGUAUUUGAAGCACUAUUUUUAUAGUUUUAGAGUAUGAACGCAAGAAUAUCCAGAAAAUGUGUCUGGAAUACAAUACCUUUUCAGUAUAGGUUUGCAAUAGUUCGUCUAUGGAUACAUUAUGCACAACUUCAAGAAGUGUUGCAUAUUUCGAUUUAGAAAUUCAAAUUCUAAGCAACGACCUAAACCAUGAGUAAUAACGCCGCGAGUAGCUCGAUUGCUUCAAUGUGUCGCGCCUAAGUGCUCAAUUGUCCCCUACAAGUCGUCACUAGUACCUCUACGCGCACGCCCUCGGACCCGGCCUCGAAGCCGGUGAGGGGUUGUUUGGAUGACACAUGUGGCACAAUGUUUGGGACCACCACAUUUGUUCAUGUGAGACUUUAUCAUCUUUAACUCCUUUGUUGAGUUUAAUGUUUUUAAGUCUUUAUAAAUGCUUUUAAAGUGAGCACCACUUUCUAUGUGGGACUAUUGGAAAUGCAUUUAUUGUCAUUAACUCAAUUGCACACUUCUUGUCAUAUUGAAACACUCCAAUGGGAAUUAAUCAUCAAUAAUUUUCAACAAUCCCCCACUUGUUCUAAUAAUUACAAGACCAAUUUCAGAAAAGAGAAAUAAAGAAUGUUAAUACAAUUAAGUAUCUUUUGAUUUGAACUUAACCUUAGUAUGGGUAGCGCAAAGUCUAAUCAUAAUGUUAGGUAUCAAUGCUUUGAACUAUUAUCCCUUGUGAUUAUACCAGUGUUACCUUACACACACUCUUUAAUGGUUCUUCGUCUGCAUCUCUCGUCUAGCACUAUUUAUGGCCAUGUGUUUUUCUUGAAUUUUUCAAGAGAGAAACUCCAACUCUCACUUUGAGACAACACCAUCUCGAAAUUCAUAUAGGUGAAGUUCAUUUUGUAUCUAUUUCUUAAGAUACAUGUGUAAGACCUCAAUUUUGACCCUAAGAUCCCUCAUGCUAUCUCAUCAUAUGCAUUGGCAUUGGGAUAACAUCUUGGCAUCCUCCUUACCCCUCGUUCAUUGGGUUUGCAUUGGGAGAAAUCACCAAGCACAUUUGAUUGUAUUAUACUUUGUAUUUUAUCAUCUUUACUAACCAAAAUACCAAAAAUAUGUCUUUGUAUAAACUAACUCUUUUGUAGGUAGGGCAUGUGCUCACCUUUGAUCUAUCAAGCUCACAUAUAGGGUUUAAGACCCUCAAUGCAAAGAGUUCAAUCAAGAAUUGGUUUAAUAUGGCUCUAAGCAUCAUAUAUGAAUCCCCAUGGUCUUCACAUGUUAUUUUGAUCAAGAAAUCAUCAAAAGUUUGGAGUUGGUUUGCCUUGGAAACCCUAAUUCAUCUGGGUAUCUUGUGUAACUUCUGCAACAAGCUUAUUCAUCAAUUGAUCAAAUAUUUCAAGGGAUACUUCAAACUUCAUCAUCUUAUGCAUAUAUGAUCCUCCAUGAUUCCCAAAAGUCAAGAGAAUGGCAAGCUAGAAAGUUGGUUCAUGGGGGUUGACCAGAGGAAUUCAUCUGAUCAAAACUGGGGUUCCCUAGACCCCAUCUCCUACAAUUUUUGUCAUAUGAAAAUGAUUCCAAGAGUAACGUUACUCUAAAUAACAUUCCCAACAACUUUCAUGUUAAGGUCUAGAGCUAGUUUUUCUUGGAAAGUCAUUUUAUAUGGUGAAAGAUUAUAGGUCAUUUUGUCUAAACCCUAAUUUGGAGGUCAACUUCCCAAGGACAUAACUUGCUAAAAUGUAUUAGAUGAAAUAUUUAAAAGUUGCACAAUAAACUUCAAGAUGUCUACUUCAACUUUGAUGUUUGGAGGAAGAGCAAAUUCAACUUUUAUGUGCAUGUGAUAUGAGGAUACAUUAUAGGUCAUUUUGGACCAAUGCCAUUGAAUAAGUGAUUUUCCUCAACUUCAAAAAUGCAUAACUCCUUCAUAUUAAAUCCAAAUAAGGUCAAAUUUGUGACCAUGUUUAAGUAAUUUGAGAGAUCUACAACUUUUAUGAAGGAAAGUUUCUUAUUUUAAGCUCACAUGAAAAGUUAGCCAAGGUGGAAUGAGUGAACAUAUGGCUUGACACUUAGAAAUGUUUAUGACAUGUUUGAUUUUCCCAACUUCCACCUUAAAAUUCAUCAUGAUCCAAGCUUUAAAUGAAAACGUGUUCAACAUGAAAGUUGUUCCUCUUGAUCUAACCUUUCCAAAAAAGUCUAAUUUCAUCCCAUUUGGACAAAUUAUGAGUGGCUUGUGCAUGGCUUGAACAUUGGAUCAUCAUGUGGCAUAAGAGAACUUGAACCUUCCAUACACAAAUGCAUAGCUUUCCAACAUGCACGCCCAUGCACCCAUGCACCCAUGCAAUGUACAUUGAUAUUUUUGGAUCUUCAUUUCAAGUGUGCAAAUAUUAACCUAUAUGGCUAUAAAUAGAACCCUUUGCCAUCAGAAUUAAGCACCCUGCGUGCUAGCUUUGAAUCCCAGCCUCCAAAACCCUCUCAUUCAAAGGAUAACCUUGAGAAUUUCCAUUGGAAAUUGAGUUUGAAUCUCACUAUUUUGAGAUUCAAAUCUCCAAGAGUCCAAUGCCUUUUGUUCAUCCAAUUCCACUCCAUCAAGUGUCCUGAGCAAGAUCAAUAGCAAGCAAGAGCAAGUCUCCUGAGUAUUUUUACUUUAAAUUUAUGUCCUUUUUUUUAAUUUUGGUGAUGGUUGUGAGCGAACCAGUCCGGUGAAGCUCACCGGAGAAGGAGACCGGAGCUUUGGCUCCGAUGGUGUGCUGGCAUUUAUCUGAACCACAUGAUCCAUUUCAAAUGUUUUAAUCUCGUGCCUUGGUUUUGCAUACCAUACCUGCAGCGCUCUGACUUGUGUCCAUAAUGGAACGCGGGGUGAGGACUACUUGAUAUGCCAUCUCAAUUAAUGAGGGAGAUCAAGUGGUCCGCGUUUUUUUUCUAUUUUCUAAUUUUCAUUUUAUUUGGUUUAUUUUCAUUAAUUCAUAUUAAUUUUAAUAUUGAUCCAAAAAAUAUGAGAGUUUCACCAAAAAAAAAUUAAAUAAAUUCCUCUUUCAUUUUCUGAAUUAAAAUCAUUUUUUGGAUCAUUAUUGAUAUUUUCCAUGAUUUAAUUGUUUUUGUGAAUAUUUUUAAUUGUUUAAAAAUAGUUUUAAGUUUCCAAAAUUAAUGAAAUUUUUUCUCCAAGGUCCUUUGACCUUAUUUGACCUAUGAUAAAUCUCAUGGCCAUUUAUUUGUUGUUUUGAUGAGGUUUUAGGAUUUUAACCAACCAUAAUUUAAUUUAAUGCAUUAUUUAAUUGAUUUUAAUUGUUUAAAUGCAAAAUAAAUUGUGUUGAGUUUUUGAUAUUGACUUGUUGAGUUUGACUUGUGUUGUUGGGCCUUGGUCAAGGUUGGUUUGACUUUGUUGAGUUAAAAUAAAUGGAUUUAGGGAAUUGAUGAAAUAUACAUUUCAUAUCCCAAAAUGAAUGAAUGAUCUUAAUUUGAUAAAAGUCCUCCUUUGACUAAUUUGUGUUGAUUCCAUUCCCCCCCCCCCCCUCUUCAUCUCAAUCCCAUUCUCUUCUCAUUCAUUUCAUGGACCUAUGAUGUCUCUAUAUCCUAAAGUUAGUUGAUUGCAAAAUCAACAUAAGUGUGGAUGAGAUUAGGUCUACCCCUUUUGCAUAUUCUUUUUAAGUGUGGUAUGUUUUAGGAGUAUGGUUCAUAAUACAAUAUCUCUAACAUGCAUUAACACUAAAAAAUUUAUUUCCCGACCUCAAAUAGUUGUGACUUCUACAUAAGUCCAAUUACGAUUGCUUAACAUAGCGCUAAAUUGUUUACACAAAAGGCAUAGCAUUCUAGUAAGUGAGAUUGUAAGUUUUCCCUCUUUCAUGGUAUUGUAUGGAAACUUGGCCUUUUUUCCUUCCUUUGGAAGAUGUCUUGGUUCAAGGAUCCAUGCUUGUGAAUAGUGGGUUGAGUGUUCUUCAAAGAAUGACUUAAACAAAACAAAAGCAAAAGCAAUACUAACUCCUAAUCAACUAACAACUAACAACUAACAUUUAAUUUCAAGUCAUUUACUUUCAUGCACUUUAAUUUUAAGUCUUUAUUCAUUUACCAUUAUUCAUACCAUUCAACUUGUUUACUUUAAUGUCAUUUGAGCCUUAUUUUGUGAUUAUGUUGUGAUUGUAUAUAAUUGUUUGUGUUUGUGGUCUUUUGACCUUAAUGUACAUAAUAAUAACAAAAACCCUAAAAGACAUUUGUGUGGACUGUUGGAUUUGCUUUGAGACAUUGGACUUAGAAUUAGGCAACACUCCCUAUGCAAAAGUACUUGGCCAAUGUCAACUUUCAUGAAACCAAGUGCUUGUGAUUUGAAACUUCAUCUGAAGCAAGUAUUGUGAUCCCAUCUGAGUUCAUCUGCUACAUGAUCUUAUUGAAGCUGUUACUUUGAACUUAUGCCUAAUGUCUAUCUCUGAUUUCAUCUGAUACAUGGGAGUCAUGAAGAAGAUCAUGAAGUUGCUAAGCUUGGAUGUGGCUAUCUUUAUUUGAUGCCUUACUCUUCAUCUUGCUAUUUAUGUAUUGAUAUUUCUUGAUUCUAAAGUCCAAGGGAAAUUUGGGUUUCUAUAUGACAUUCUUGUCUAUUGGAUUGCAGCCCAUUGGUCAGAUCUUUUCAAAUCUUAACUUUUAAAUUUUUGCUUAGGAUUAGAGUCUCCAUCUCUUCCCCACUUCUUUAAUUUUAAAUCUCUCCCUCCUUUUAAAACCUUCUUUGCUUGUGUUUUCUAAACUUAGAACAUAUUGCAAAUUUAGAAACUUUGGCCUUAUGCAUUGAAUUUUUAAACUCUUUUCUUAAUCAAACUUGUAAAUGAACUUAACCAUACUUGACUUAAAAUUUCAAAGGACAAAAAGAACUAACACUCACUCAAACCUUUUUAGGCCCUUUGUGCCUUUGUUAAACUUAAAUUUUUGUUAAAAGAAAUGCAUCCACUUUGAAAUUGUUACCACGAACUACGGGGUUUUGAUCCCUCAUUUUUGUGUUGGUACGUAGGCACAAGUCCGAAGGUCUUAUCAAACAAAAAUAUAUAAUUAAUGAAUUAAUUUCUCAUUCCUCCACUCUAUUUAUUGCAAACAUCAUUUUAUACCAAAACACAUAUGCGCACAAGAAAGAGCUCCCUAGGAGUACCUAGGACACUUUGGAUGCUAACACAUUCCUUCUGUGUAACCAACCCCCUUACCUGUAAUCUCUGAUUUUAUUAGUUUUGAUUUGAAAACUUCUUAUUUUUGCAUUUUGUUCGCACUUUUCCCUUUUCCCUUGGAAACAAUAAAAGCGUGGUGGCGACUCUGGUUUUAUUGACGUUAAGUUUAUCCAUAGCUUAAUGGUCAUGAAUUUACCGCUACAACAUAUCCUCGAUAAAGAACAUCAUUAAGAGUUUGAAAACUCAACCCUCAAUAUGUAAUAGUCAACAUUGUCAUAAGAUGUUGCACAAUCAUCCAACUCAAUAAUUUGUUGUUAUCCAUUGAAUCUUAGGUUAAGGUUUAUUAACUUCAUAUUGGGUUGCUACCAUUGUCAGAACCCUUAUUCUAGGAGUUUUAAUCUCAUACCUCUCAAGGUAGUCUUUAGUAAGUCUCUAGCUAGUGGUUUAGUAAACAAAUCAGCUAAAUUAUAGCUUGUUCGUAUAUAUGUCAGCGAAAUAAUUUCAUCCUUAAUUAAUUUUCUCACGAAAGAAUGUCUAAGACCUAUGUGCCUAAACUUUUCAUUAUAUACAUCACUGAAUUCUCUUGAUAGGGUGGCUUGACUAUCACAAUGUAUAAAUACUUUCAAAAUAUUAUCUUUAGUCAACGAAACAUCCAAAAGAAGGUUCCUUAACCAUUCAGCUUCUUGACCAGCGGAAACAAGAUCCACAAACAUUGAUUCCAUGGUCGAAAGAGUAAUACAUGUUUGUUUCUUGUUCUUCAAAGAAAUUGCACCUCCAGUCAAUGUACAUAUCCACCCUGUUGUAGAUUUAUAAUCUCCAACUCGCAUUGGUAUAUCACUCUUGUAUGGCAGAAAACCUACCAUAAUGAAGGCCGAGAUUUUUAGUCUUUAAGAGGUAACCAAAAAUCCUAGUUAUGACCUUCCAAUGUUCACCAUUUGAAUUACUAGUAAAUCUAUGCAUCUUACUAAUUGCAAAUGCUAUGUCAGCUCUAGUACAUUGCAUUAAAUACAUUAGACAUCCAAUUGCAUUUGCAUAUUCCAAUUAGCAGACAAAACCCCUUCUUUGCCAAGCCAUAACUAGUGGCCUGCUACGACCACCCGUAUCACCGGCUACGGGCCGUAGCAGGCAGGCGUGUGAUUUUUUGAAACUUUCUUUUUUCGUCCAUAUUUGGAAAUUAUUGGUGAUUCUACUUAUAUUCAAACCUAAUCUUAUUAUCCUUAAAAAUAUAACUAAUUAUGGGAAUAUGUAAAAGGGGUAUUUUUCUAUCUAAGCUAGUUUUUUUAUCACAUUUGAAGGGGACUUAUUCUUGGACGACAAAAAUACAGAGACAAAUAUUGAAGAACACAUAAGCUUUGGUGAUCAUAAUUGUUAUUAGACCAAAACUUUUUUUUUUCGGUUUGAGUUUUAGUGAAAAAUCAUUUUGAAAUUAAGUAAAAAAAUCAAAAUCAACUUUUUUUUAAAUUGACCUUCAAAAUCGAAACUAAAAACUAAAUAUAUUUUAUAUUUCGAGACAAAAGUAGUAUUAGGUAUUACAAAACCAACAAUAUUAUAAUAUAAAAUGUCAUUAGAUAAAUUUAAAGAAUUCAUUUACUUACUACAUCAAUAAUAAUAUAAUAUUAUUGAAGUUAAUAAAUAUUAUUACAAUUUUAAUAGAAACAAUAAUAAUUAAAAAAGUUUAUACUAUAACUAAUUUUCUUAUCUUUCUUUAUUUUCUAAAGACAUUAUAUAUUUUUGAAAAGAAUCUAUUAUUUGCAAAGUCAGUAAUACUCUAAUAUGAAAUGUUAUAGAAUAAAUUUAGAGUCGGGUUGGUGCUUAAAUUUAAUACACUUUUUGCAAAUGAGUUGGAUAAAGAUUAGAUAUAAUAGAGAUAAAAUAUGAUAAUGAAUAGAAUAAUAUAUGAUAGUUAUAUGAUUUACAUAUCAUAUCAUAUGUUUUUGGUUCAUUCAUGAAACAAAUUAUUAUAAGAUUAUUUUAUCGGAGAAGGCAAACGACCAUGUUCACUUUAUUUAAGUCUGUUCCAUAAAAGUCCGCAAAAAUAGGAUAGAGAGGGACAUAUAUAGUUAAGGAUUUGAGCCUAAAACUUAUACCCAUUCUGCGAAAAAGUGAGGGCAGAGCGGAGAAAAUAUGCGGAAACUAUACCUUUGAAGUUUAAAAAUGUAAAAAUUUAUGAAAACAUCCGCGUCCGCAACAAACCACAAAAAAAUGGGGUGGGAUGAGGCGAACACAUUACAGAGUGAGAAUCUAAACCCUUGGUCCACCCGCACUAAAAUCCGGGAAAAACAGAUAUGCCGAAUUGGUUGUAUCCGUUUUCCAACCCUUAUAUUUUACAAUAUUAUAUGUUUAAGAUCCACUUUAUAAUGAUAUCAUAUAAUAUAUAUUACUAUCUUAUUUUAUUCAUUUCUUACCAUGUCCAUACAACAUAAUACACAGUACAUACUCAUAACCUCUUUUACAAAUCCCAUGUAACAACUUACAAAAUUUACAAUUAACAUAAUAUAUUAGCAUCCACAAACUUCUCAAAUUUCUCACUCAUUCUAACAAACUUCUCAAAUUUCUCACUCAUUCUGAACUUCACAUAGACUAGACAUUUUUUCAUCACUCAUCUCACUCAAUUUUCCCUUAUACUCUAACGGAAUUUUCACAUACAUUACAUUUUUACAGACUCGAAACUAAACCAAAUUGAUUAUUAUAAAUCCCAAGAGAAAUGAGAAGAGGGGGUAGCCACCAAUUGCACAAGUUCAGAGCUACAAUUAAUACACCAUUACACAAUAGUCUCAUUAAAACCUUGCUACUAUCAAUUCAUCGUUUGAGUAUCAACCUCUCCACCAUAGAGCUUCACGCUCUGCCUCCAUCAUCAUCAUUAGCUUGAGCCAACAUCACAUCACCAUCACUUCCACUUUUUGUUUACUCUCAUUGCUAGUCCAAACUCCCAAAUAGCAACAAAAAUGAGAGAAUUGAGAUGAAUUAGGAAAGCUCAUAAAAGAGGAGAAAAGAACUGGAAACAAGCGGAAAAGAGUCAAAACCAUGCUUACCUGAUCAAAUCGAACUCGUCGGAAAAGUGCUUAAGGUCACCAUAAAUUGGGAAUUUUUUAUGGAAAAUUCAUCCAGUCACUGGAGAAUUCAACGGCACCCUCAAUCUCGCCGAAAAAAUCACCGGAUUUUGGAAAUUUCCAAAGCUUUCAUUGGCCUUUUUUAUUUGUUUUUUCGCUUGUUUUCUCUAAGAUCUUUGUUUCUGCAUGUGUUUAGAACCUUU